rnacentral:lncRNA from 1 species
UCUCUUUGAGGUGGUCUUCUUCUUCAUGAUUUCUUUUUGACUUGGUUUGUCUUUGUGAUUGCCACUUUGGAAAUCAUCUUGCCUAAUCACACUUGAAAUAUAAUCAUUAGUUCUAAACCUUGUUUUGUUAUCAUCAAAACCGAGAUUAACCAAACCGUGGUUUCACAAUCUCUUAUGAUGACAAAACCAAGGUUGCUAAAGAGCUCCCCUUCAAUAUAUGCUCCUUUGAAUUUAGAAAAUAUUCAAGUUUAGAAACUUCAAGGAGUAUAUUAAAGAUGCUCAAAAUGAUAUAAUUAAACAUAAAUAGCAUAAAGAGCAAUUUAGCAAUUGCAAAAUAUUAUUAUUUAAACAUGAUGCAUGUAAUUAUAACCAAUAAAGCACAUAACAUCAAUAUGAAUAGGAUUGCUGAAACAAAAUUGACAUUUCUUCCCAAGUUAGCAACCUACCAUUACUUCUCCCCCUUUUUGUCAUCAACAAAAAGUUUCAAUAAAGUAUAUAAGGGAAAUCACAUGUUAUCAAAAGUUUAAAAAAUAAACAAUAAGCAUGAUAUGAUUUCUCAUGAAAAUGAAUCUCCCCCUUUUUCAUUUGAGAAUAGUUUCCAAAUAAAAGAUUGCUCAUCCUUAGAGCAUUUCCAAUUUAAAGCAUGAUUUGGAAAUAUAUGUGAGAGAACAUAUGCAUUUAAAAAGAUAUAUAAUAUGCAUUGAAUAACACUAUUAGAGUUUACAAGCAUAUGAACAUUCAAUUUUACCUAGGUAUAUUAAAAAAAUUUCUUUUUAAUCCAAACCUUGGUUUAAAGAUAUACCAAUUUUAUCAAAGUGAUGCCAAAUGUUAUAUUAUUGACAAAAAAUAUGCCAAGUGUUAGAAAAAUAAUAAAAUGAUAUUGCAAAUUAAGCUUUAAAAGGGAUACCAUUACCAAUAUUAUCAACGCAUUCUUUCUAAGGUAAGCAUAUCCUCAUUUUUGCAUGGAUCCCUACAAAAACAAAUUAAGUAACCUUUGGUACCCAUAUCUUUUUGGGUCCUAGAGGGUUAGUCUUUCUUCCAUUUGGAAUCCAAAAUAAUUUAGAGUUUUGAAGAACAUGAGGGGAUUUACCAAUGUGACCUCCUCUUUCACAAAGAUUGCAAAUAGUUGAAUGUGAAAAACUAGAGGUUUCCUUUACAAAAUAAUUCUUAAAAAAAAAAUUGAUUUUUGAAAGGCUUGUAGCCUAGCCUUUUUUUUUUUUUAAUAUCAAAAAUGCACUUUUGAUUUGCCAAAAUCAUAUCAAAAGUCUUUUGGCCAUUUCAGAAUUUUUAACUCCUCAUUUUCCUUUUCAAAAGGGAUUUUUGCCUUCUCAAUAUUUUCAAAAUUUUCAUUAUGCUCACUGAGCUCAUUUUGAAGACAAUAAAUCUUUUUCUUGAGAGAUAUAUUUUUGAAUCCAAGUUUUUCAAGAUCAAAAUAUAAUUCUUGAAGUACAUCUUGAAACUCGUUAUGGUUAGAGUUGGAGUUUACCUCAUCUUAAUGUUCUUCCAAAGCCAUAAAGCACAUAUUGGCAUCCUCAUUUGUGCAUUCUUCUUCCAUGGAGUCUUCAUCACUUUCACUUUCACUCUCCUCCUCUUCAUCAUCAUUUAUUGAAGCCAUAAAAGCUAUACUUUUCUUAUUUUCUUUAACUCUUUGAAAAUUGUUCAAAUUUAUCUCAUAAGUCAUGAGUGACCAAUGAGUUCUUCAAGUGAGAGUUUGGUGAGAUCCUUUGCUUCUGGAAUAGCCGUCACUUUUGUUUCUCAUUUCUUUGGUAGAGACCUUAAAAUCUUCAUGACUUUCUCUACUUUUAUGUAGGUCUUUCCCAAGGCUUCAAGUUCAUUCACAAUCACCAUGAACCUAGAAAUCACCUCAUGAGUGAUUUCUAAUAGUCUCCAAAUUUCUUUAGCCGACUUACAUUGCCAAAUAUGAUUAAAUUUAUUUCUAUAAAUAGCACAAUGUAAGAUAAAAACGGCUUUGGCAUUUAAUUGAACUUUCUUUCUAUGAAGUUCAUCUCAUUCAUGCUUAGGUUUUGGAACCAUCACUCCAUUUUCUAAUUUUGAAGGAAUGUGGGGACCAUCUUUAAUGACAUCCCAUAAAUCAAGAUUAGUAGAUUGGAAAAACCAAGUCAUUUUAAUUUUCCAACAAGGAUAAUUGGUUCCCAUGAAAAGUGAAGGUCAGGUGGUUGAAAAACUUUCAAUGUAAGAUGAGCUUGAUGGAUUAGCCAUUACUACUUAGAUGAUUAAGUCUUAAACAAGAAGCCUAGUUCUGAUACCAAUCGUUAGGACCUCAGACACUACCAACUCUCUUAAAAGCAAUUGCUUGUAGGAAAGGCGCAUACCCUAACCUUAUAGUGGAUUCACCCAAGCACUCAUGGCGAACAUAAGGGGAGUUGAUGGAUGCGGCCAACCUUCCAAUUGCUUUUAGGAGAGUUGGUAGCGCCUAAGAUCCUACAAGUGGCAUCAGAGCCGAGGUCACGGGUUCGAACCCUAGGGGUGUCGCUGGGAGGGAGAUUGUUGGCAGAUCGGAGGGUUGACCGCAUCCAUCAACUCCCCUUGUGUUCGUCAUAGGCGCUUGGGUGAAUGCACUAUAAGGUUAGGGUAUGCACCUUUCCUACAAGCAAUUGCUUUUAGGAGAGUUGGUAGCACCUGAGGUCCUACAGGAUGGAUGUGAUAUAAUUCUCAAACAUGGUUAACUCAACAACCUCAUUGUAAGUUGUCUCGGGUUUUCAUCUCUAUGAUGGGUGUGUGGUAAAGUCUCAAGAUGGGUGUGUUCCAAGCCUUUUUAAGUAAGCUUUGAAAAGUCAUCAUAUCCUCCUUAGAACAAUAAGUGUUGAGAUAUUAGUAUUAUAAAGCCUUGGGAUGGUCGCUUGGCCUAGAAUGGUUAAACUAUGAGAUGGGUGCACUAUAAAACCUUAGAAUAGGUUUAUUGUAAGCCUUUGGGGGUGUUAUUGCUUAUAGAUAAUUGGCUUGGGAAAGUGUGUUGUGAACCUUGAUAUAGUAAUAUAAGGGUUCGUUUGGUAAUGAUUUUAGGAAGUGUUUUUAAUGUAAAAAGUAUUUUUUUUUAAAAAUAAUUAAGUGCUUGUCAAAAUAAUUAAGUAUUUUUUUGAAGUACCAUGCCUUUAAAAUCUUUAAUUAUUGAAUUUUUGAAAAUCAAUGCCAAUAAUUGUAUUUUAACUACCUAGCUACAAUCUAAAAAUUAAAUUGAGGUAUUAACUCCACUAAAUAAUAGAAUGACCAUAGCUCGAAUAAACAUUAGUCAAACGUGAUAAAACUAUAGACUAAGUGGACAUUGCUAGUUUUGGACAAUGUAAAACCAGUGUGCACCCAAGACUCGAAGAUAUAGUAUCUAAUCAGAUGAGAAGUUUGGGUAUUCUCUUGAAAAGUUUAGGUAUUUUGUAUAUUGUAUUGCAUUAUGCUUGGUUUAGGAAUGUAUUAAGAAAAAUUAUUUUUUCAUAUUAGGUUGAUUUCAUUUAUCUCUCUUAAAGUUUUGACUAAAUAUAUAUAACUUUUAUUGGUUUGAAAUUUCAUCAAAUAUCUUUCAUAUAUUUUAUAUUUACUAUUUUCAUUCACCUCUCUCAUUUCAUCCAAAAUAAGAAAGGUGUUUGGUAAAAUUUCAAACCAAUAAAGGUCAAGUGUAUUUGAUCAAAUCUAAAGGAGAAAUGAGUGAAAUUAAUCUUUCAUGUUUGGUUUUAUCAUAAAAAAUAAAAAAAUAUAUAAUUAAAAUUAAUUAAACAUAAAAGGUAUGUUUAAUGUGGAAUAAAGAGGUAAAAGAGGUAAAGAGAAUAAACGAGAAGUAUAUUAUGUAUGAAUUGGGAUCUAAAAAAAUAGUACUUUGUAUCUAUCUUGCAAAUGUAGUUUGUAAGUAUCCUAUAUGCAAUAUAAUUUGUUGAGUCAAAUACAAAAACAUGAACCCUAAACAUAGGAGUAUUUGAAAUAUUAAUGAUGGCCAAGGAUUGGUUUUACUUCAUCAUCUAAUAUUUGGAAUUGCUCACUUAACCCAAGAUGUGCAUUAAGAAGGCAGACAUGAGUGAGCAGCUCUCCACCUCGCCUAAGCUGAUGGCUGUGUUGAACCUAUUCACAAUGAGUAGCCGCAUAGAAUAGCAUCUCCAUCCACACAUGACUUAUCAUCUCCCAUUUCUCCUCUGUCCCUGCCAUUUCCGGUGAUUCUAAUAUUUUGGCAAGUCUAUAUGCCUCGAAUAAUACGGACUUGCUUUUAUCUCCUUUCACAUCUCUAGGUAGCAGUUGCGUAUCACUUUAAGCAACGAUGUGCAAGCUUCAUCUCUAUUAGAUAUGGCCUCCCAUUUUUUGCUGAAAAAAUCUUUUGGCCUCUGAACGAGUGUCUCGGAAUCUCCCCUAUUCCUUUUGGAAGCAUAAAUGGUCAUAUGACUAGGAGAUGGAGCAUGUAAUUAGAUAAUAACUUGCUUAUAUUGUACCUUGAUUUAGGAUCAGGGUCUUUAUGAUCAAAAGAACUGCCAUACAUAUCUGUAGCAAUAUGCCAGAGAAGGAGGCUGUGAACAAAUUCCACAUCAACUAUACUCCAACCAAGUUCAUUAAUAAACCCCUUUUUUGUAAUCACAUAAUUACCUCUGUGUUUGAGUAGCUGCUUGAGAUUUCCACCUUCGUUUAUCAUCUCUAGAACCCACCAGAAGAUGGAUUAAUUUAUAUCAUCCACUUUCUCCCAAGUCAUGUACCAGUACUUGUCCAAGAAUUUGUUCAAGUCGAUGAACUUGGGAACCCGAUCAAACUUGGUUUUGUCUCUGAGGCAAGAAUCAAUUAAGUUGUUCUGUGCGAUGCGUCUAGACCACCUCCUGUCACUGGAUACAACUGAUCGAAAAGAGGAGAUGGCUCGACCAAUGGAAUCAGCCAGGGGGUUCCUCUUACUGCUCAACCAGAAAAUGGUCCAGUGGGACAAAAUCAGCAUAAUGAGAGCAUAUAUAAAUCUCAAGAACAAUAGCUCCAAACAGUAACGUGUAAGUUACGCCGAUGUCAAUGUUUGAGAACUCGUGCUUAUCAAUGAAGAAGCAGAAGGCCACUAAAGUAAAAAUUGUGGAGAAGAAGCUUGUGGAGCGGAGCAGAAGGCCUAGUUCAGAAUAAGCCACUGCUGCCUUGGUGUGGAGCACAUCAUACAUGCAUAAAACCGAGCUCCAUCUCUACCACUUCGAAGGCAUCUUCAGAUGGCAAGCACCUGAUGAUGCUGUCACUGAUUUUUUGUUCAUCCAAGCUGAGGAUGAGGUCUGCAUAUAGAUGCCUGAAGUGCCCCUCGAAUAAGAAGUAAGCUUUAUGAAUAUAUUUUGCAUCAGGAAUAUAUAGUAAUGUCAUCACCGACAGUAGGUGGUGGAAGGGGACAUUUAAUCGCCACCUGAAAUCCUACAUCCUCUCGUUUUCUUGAACUAUAAUCCUCCAUGAAUUUAUCAUAAUCAGGUCCAGGAUCAGGGGGUCGGAGCAAGGAGUCUCUGAAUUGCUUGCUGCUUGCAGACCUGUGAACCCAGGUCCUCUCUCCAUACUUGAUCAUUCCAGCAAUAAACAUUAGAAUGAACAGAAAAGUGAGUCCAGUUCCUAUCCAGUACCUUAGAAACACAACCAGCCGCUCCAACUUGGAUGACUAGUCCAAGCAAGUGCCUCCGCCCCAACUCGCUGUCCUGUAAGGAGUAGGCAGUGAUGCUAUCCAGCCCACCAAGGUGGAGGAGAAGGAAGGGUGCCCAAAAUGCCAUGAGCGAAUAGUUUGGAUCCGGGGAGCUUCUGGAGAGAGUACCAAGCGAAACAGUUUGCCAUCAAGUCUGCUAACAAGUAUGGCAGCCAAAUUAGAAUCCUAAUCCAGCUUCCAGCUAUACGUUUUCGUUGGUUGCCAGAGAUGACAAGCAUAAUUUGUAGCAACAGACUGAAUAAAACCAUCACACGGAUAUCCCAUUCGUCCCAAAGUUUUUGCACCUUUGAGAAAAUCUCCAUUGCCUGCCUCUUCUCACUACGUAAUUAUGAGAUUAAUUCACUUGCAGUUUUUUCAGAUUCUCCAGUGCCAUAUUUAUUCCCUAAUCAUUAUUUAACUAUGACAAACUUACAAUAGUAGGCAUAGACCUCCAAUGGCCUUGAGGGGACUCUAACGGGUGACCAUUAGAGAGCAAACCCAAGGCCGGACCAACUGAGCUACCCUCAGGGUUAAAAAAAAAAAAAUGCCUUUGUAAAUUAUUUGUAAAAGGAAAACCAUUGGGCAUUAUGGGGUUCUUUAAUCAUUUGUUGAGAAACAUAUUGAAGAAUAAGAAUUGUCCUAAAAGAAAGAAAGGUGGCUUAGACAAAUAGAAACCGACAAAAGUGGAGUUGUUAACAAAUCUUUCCAUAUUUCCAUAAUUUAUUUAAACCUAUUAUUUUAUGAUGAUCAUGUGAGUAAAACAUUUAUAGAUUUAUAUAGUUUAAGGUCUUUUUGGUAACUUUCUUUAUUUUUUAUUUGAAACAACUGUAUAAAAAAAAGCAAUUUUUUAGAAUAUUUCUUUGAUAUUUUCUAAAAUAAAAAUCUAUUUGAGAACUUUAAAUAUUUUUAAUUUAUUUUGUAUAUUUUUAAAUAUUUUUUAAAAUUAAGUUUUAUGAGCUUUAUUUUCAAUUAUUAUCCAUUUUUUAGAAUUAUUUUUUUUAAAUAUCAUUUUAAAAACAAAUAAAAAUUAUUAAAAUAUGUCAUGAGAAAACAUCUCAUUUUUUCAAGGAAAAAAAAUUCAAAAAUUAACAAAAUCAAAUUCGGAUUAUGUUAAGAAUAAUGUGACUAAGGUCGGAAGACUUUAUAGUGGAUUUGUAUUGCCUAGGUUAAAUCAUUUUGAGAAAAUUAGGCCAAAGAGACUUCACAUGCAUUAUUUAGAAAGAGGUGUUAAUUAACUUUUAUUCAUAAAAAAAUAAAAAAUAAAAAUAUGAUUCUUUCUAAAUUAAUUGUGAAAGGAAGACCAUUGAAAGUUGAAACACCACUGUGGGCCUUGAUCCCACUGUUGAUGCCUCGCGCUCCUGGUGUUCCACGUAGUUGCCAAAUGAAUGGACAUGCGAUCUCAACCCACAAAGGUUCUUGAUUCAAUCGUUGUACCUGCAAAAGACAUCCGGACAGGGUGUCCGGACGCACCCUCCGAUGGUUUUGUUAGCCAUGGUUAGAGAGGGAGAUAUAAAUCAGUUGACCUUUUACUAGGUAUCAGGAGAUCACCUUCUUCUUCGUGCGAAGGUUCAUAUAUAGUGUCAGGAGUACUGUUCCUCUCAUUAAUGGCGAGGAGAUAUUUUAUGUUUGUCAUGAUGACAUUCGGAGGCAGCAUGGUCAUCACCACCCUACUGGCGACUGUCAGAAACCGUGGUAGGUGAUGCUGCUGUCAGAGAUCGUGGGAAGUGUUCAUGUAGAAUGAUCGUGGAAAGUGACUUGUUGUCACCUCAACUCGUCCUUUCACUCUACAGGCAAUGGGACGUGGGCCAUGGCUGGUUUGUUGCGAUAGCGUGUAAGACUCGCUUUACUUUAGUCAAUGAUCCAGACAAUCAUAUCCGGAUAGCCCAUGUUGGUUAUCCGGAUGUAUUGUGGAGCGGACGUAUUUAUGGAAGUCGUCCGGAUGCCUAUGCUUCGUAAGCGUCGUUUGCUCUUCCUUGAGGCAGUCCGGAUAUACAAGGUGCGCCAUGUGUGCUUUAUAAGAAGGUCCGGAUGAGGGUGACCCGGAUGACAAUGCGUGCCAUGUGUCACUGUAAGAUACGUGCCACGUGUCUUGGCCAAAUGCGUGGCACGUGUUCUCAGAGGGCGGGGUCCCUACAAUGCCCUCCUUUUUUAACUUGCCUAUUUUGCCUUAGAAAAAAUGGGCGGGUUAAAAAAUAAUUGGUUUUUGAAACAGAAGUCGACCUUUCGUCUGGUUGGGCCACAUGGCGAGUGGGGGUGCGGGAGCCAAGAAAGGCAUUUAUAAUGAGCCGCCGACUCUGGGUAUUCCCAGGCAGCAUGUCGUUUCAAUGAUGGCGCUGUUUGGGUGUUUGGUUUUCCGAGGGCUUGUCUCCCUAUAAAUAGCAUACUGUGCCCAUUGUUGCUUUUUUUUCCUACUGCUUUUUCUGAGAUUGCUUUCUUCUUCAACUUUGUACGUACCUUCGCUUUCUUCCGAGUAAAACUCAAAAUUUUCCUAACGGUGAUUUGCGCUUUGACGGUGUUUGCCUUGCGGUUUUGCAACCCUUGCUCUUCUCUUACAUUUGGUACGUAUUCUUUGUGCCUUGUUCUUUUCUUUUCUGCGCUUUGGUGUUUGUUGGUUUGUUGCUGGUUUGUUUGGGCGAGUGUUGUUUGUGACUGGGUAUUUUAAGGGUUUCCGUUGCCCCCCUGUGUUUUUGUGGGUUGGGGGUUUCUUGUUGGAGUAGAGUCAAGGAUUUUUGGAAUGGGUAUAUUGGUGGUGCGAGAUUUUCUGAGUGUUGUUAUUGUUUAGGGUUUGCGGGGUUGGUUGGCUGUGUUUGACUGUUGCAUUUCUUGUAUGUAGGUUUUGGUUCAAUCUCGGCCUAAAAAUGUCUUCAAAGAAGAAAGCUGCUUCAUCUGCCCGAGUCGGCGACGCUCAUGAGAAGUCUACAGACAAACUGAGCGUAAAGGAGUUCCGAGAUCGAUUCUACAUUCCAAAUGGCGUAAUUGUGGAAUUUUUGAAUGGGGAGGAUGUCGUAUCUACUGAAAAAGCUGAACAAGAUACCGUCAUCUUCUCCAAGGAACAAUUCAAUGCGGGGCUCCGAUUCCCUCUACCGGCGUUGUUCAAGGAAUUUCUUCAUUUCACCAAGAUUCCACCCGUCUUCAUUCACCCCAAUAUCAUCCGGGUGCUGAUGGGAUGCAGCAUCAUAAACAUGCUGUACAACCUCGAUCUCACGCUGCUGGAGGUGUUUUUUGUCUAUUCGCUGAAGAAGGCAAAAACUGACAUCUUCAGCCUGUCCGCGCACCUACCCUCCCUUCAAUUGGUGACGAAACUGUCAGACUCGACGAAGGGAGGGGCGAGGGGACACGUGAUGGUCCGGGGUGCAUGGGCGGGGUCGAAGCAUCCGGCGAGGCCCUUCUCUCCAAACUACUCCUUAGUGAUUCCGGGUAAGUUUGCUUUGCGACUUUUGUCCGACUUUUACUUUGUUGUCUUUUUGUUAAUUUUUCCGGGCAGUAUUCUCAUCCUUUGUUUGCUGUCAAUGCAGGUUCGGAAAGGAGGGGCCACCUCGUGGAUUGGGUGGAAAAGACGUCUUUUGCCUGUCUCAGCAAGUUAUUUGAGAUAGACGCCAAGGAGAGGCAGUGCAAGACGCUGCUGACUGCGUGGAACCUGAUGGCGGUCGUCCGGGAGCCCCAAGAGUAUGUCAUCAACAUUCUCCCCAGGAAGAUGCCAAAGGAGGUAGUGCCUGGGGAGCAUUACACUGUGAAGGAUCUCCCGAUCUACCAGGAGUUCAAAGAGGUUGACGCUGAAAAACGCCGAGCACUCUUGGAUGAUCGGGAGAAGAGAAAGAACGAAGGAACCCUUCGGAAGGCUCCCAGACAGAAACGCGGCGCGACCUCUCCUCCAAAUAAAACUCCAGCAAAAAGAAGGAAGUUAGUGAAGAAGAAUGGGAAGGGGGUGAAGGAGUCCACUCCUCUCAAGGAUUUUAUCCCUCCGCCAAUUACUCAUGAGGCGGAGGUAAUAAUAGAGGAACCAGUGAACCCUGCUCCUCAUUCUAUCUCAAGCGGAUCCGGACACGUCGCGAGGCUGAACCACUCAAGUACCUUCUUAGCAGCGGUUGCCCGUCUGGCAAAUUUGGUUGAGGAAGCUGCGUUCAUCAACCAUCCGGACUCCCCUACUCCGGAUGUCGAUGCAGUUGAAGCCGUUUGCGCGGCCCCGAUGGAGGAAGCAGGGGCAGAAAGCCAGAGUCAGCCCUCUGAUGAUUCGGACCGUCUGGCUCUUGUUCUGGUGAAGGAGCCACCUUCAAAGAGGCCUCACUCGGCGCGCAAUCUGAGGUCCGGACUCCUCGGGCGGCUUCAAGAUCGUCAGCAAGAGAUCGAAGUUAGUUGCUCAUCCGCCCACGACGCUCAUCCGGAGGGGGGCGAAGUGGAGAUGACAACUGAGCCUCCAUCCGUCCCUGUGAUGGUCCCGGCUGAGGUUGCACCCGGGGAGACCCAUCCGGUCGUAAAUGUUGAGGCCCCGAAUCCGGAACAAGAGUCUCGUUCUGUUGCCUCAUCAGGCGGGGAUCCUGUUAAUGAUGCGUCUUGCACCUCCGCUAGCCCUUUUAGCUACGCGGAGUUGGAAGAUAAGCUGAAACAGAUUCCACCCGACUUGACCAGUGUUAUGCCUUCAGCCAAGAUGUUCGAGAUGGUGGAAUCGGUAUACUGUCUUUGUGCUUUUUUAUUUUUUGUCCUUCUGAUAUGUGUUUGUGGUGUGAUUUCUAACUUUGCUUUUCUCGUUUGACUGUUUACCUGCAGCUGGUGAGUGGUCUCCGUGGCAUGGUCAAUCAAUACGAUCUUUUCACUGACCUGCUGCGGACCACUGAUUACAUGAAGGCCUUCGCCGCUCGGCACAAAGAUACUGAAGACCAGUUGCGCCUGAGACUGGGGAAGGCUGAAGCUAGCGUAUCCACUGCCCGAGGGGAGAAUGAGGCCCUCCGGGCAGAUUUGGCUGAUGCAAAGAGCCGGGAGGAAUCAAUGGAGGCCCGCCUGCAGGAGGCAGAGGAUGAGAUGGCCCGGCUGCGGGGGGAGGUGAGGCAACUCCAGACCGAGGCUUCAAUUGAAAAGAAGCAGAAACAAGAUUUGCAAUUGCGCUUAUCAGCGCAAAAAGAAGAGCUAGAACGGGAGUUUGCUGCAGAGAGGGAGGAACUUGAAGCGGACUACCAAAAACAAGUGGAUGACACCUUCAUCUUUGGCUAUCGCUGUUGUAUGAAGAAGAAUGGCAUAAAGCGGGAUGUCCCUUCAAUUCCUCCGGGUGAAGAGAAGAAACUUUAAGGUUCUCCCUGAUAGCUUUUGUCUUUUUGCAACUGUUUGCUGUAAUCUUCUUUUUGUAUUUUCGUGGUCCGGAGACCUCUUUGCACAUUCAUUGAUACAUAUCAAUAAAAUAUGUCUUUUUCUUCUAUUUGUACUUGUCUCUCUUUUUCAUUGAUAAUACUGUUUUAAAUUGGACACAUUCCAUGGUCUAAGUAAUGGAGUCCCGUCUAACUUUUGUAAAUGAUAGGCUCCACUCUCACUUGCCUUAGACACUAUAUAGGGUCCUUCCCAGUUAGCUUGGAAUUUCCCUGCACCCACUUCAACAGUGUUUUCAAAAACUUUUCUAAGGACUAGCGUACCAUUUUUGAAGUUUCUGGGCCUUACUUUGCGAUUGUAGUGGGCGGAUGCUCUUUGUUGAUAGUCUGCCAUCUGGAUGGCUGCACUUUCUCUUACUUUAUCCGUCCAAUCCAAAUUUCUUCCUAAUUCCGUGUUUGCAUCAUUUUGCUUUGCUGCAUCAGUCCGGACAGUAAGAAGACCUAUUUCAGUAGGAAUGACUGCGUCCAUUCCAUAUGCGAGGGCGAAAGGAGUGUUUCCUGUUGGUCGUCCGGGUGUGGUUCGAUAGGCCCAUAGGACGCCGGGUAGCUCCUCCACCCACUUCCCUUUGGAUUGUUCAAGCAUUUUCUUUAAGGCAGUGAUUAGGGUCUUGUUUGUGGCUUCUGCUUGCCCAUUACUUUGAGGAUAUCGUGGUGUGGAAUAUGAAUUCCGGAUGUUCAGCUUCGAACAGAAAUUCCUGAAAGCAAUGUUGGUGACAUCUUUGUCUUUGAUGCUAGCAUAUGCUUCAACUUCCACCCAUUUACUAAAGUAAUCAGUGGCAACAAGGAGGAAUUUCUUCUGGGCAGGCGCUGCUGGGAGGGGUCCCACUAUAUCCAUGCCCCAUUGUGCAAAAGGCCAUGGGCCUGAGACUGACUUCAACGUUGCUGACGGCAUAUGUGGAAUGGGAGCAUACCUUUGACAUUUAUCACAUCUUUUGACAUAUGCUGCCGCGUCUUUCUUCAUUGUUGGCCAAUAGUAUCCUUGCGAAUGAGCCCUAUGUGCCAGAGAUCGUCCUCCCGAAUGAUUUCCGCAUAUUCCCUCAUGCAACUCAGUUAACACAUACUGGGCCUCUGAAUGCCCUAGGCACUGGAGGUAAGGUCCUGUGAAGGAUCGCUUGUACAGGUGCCCCCCAAUCAGGGUGAAACGGGCAGCUUGCACCCGGAUUUUGUGUGCCUGCUUGGGAUCUCCGGGUAGAGUGUCUGUCCGGAGAUAUUCUGCAAUAUUGUCCGUCCAUUCUUGGUCGUUUGCUUGGGUUGCCUCAAUGGUGUUGCAAGUGGAGGUUUCUAUGACAGAAGGGCUGGUUUGCACAUGUAUAGGCAAUAGAAUGGCUUCUUUGAUGGGGAGGGAGACAGCUAUGCCGGCCAAGGCGUCAGCGCGCCUAUUGUCAGCUCGCUUGAUUUUUUCGAUUGUCCAUUCGAUGAAUUGCUGUAGGGUGUCUCUUACUUUAGCUAAGUAUCGCGCCAUGCGUGCGUCCUUAGCCUCAUAUUCUUCCUGGACAUGCUUUACCACGAGUUGUGAGUCGCUGUAGAUCUGGAGUUUGGAGACGGAUAGAGCAAGGGCGAGGUCCAAUUCGGACAAGAUGGCCUCAUAUUCUGCUUCAUUGUUAGAGGCAGAGAAUUCCAGCCGGAUGGCUUGCUCCAAAUGUUCCCCAGUUGGGGACUGUAGUAGAAGCCCAACUCCAAAGCCUGAUGAGCGUGAGGCUCCAUCAACUCGCAGAGUCCACCAUUCUUGUUUACUUGAUUCGUGGUGUUGGCUGGGUCUUCGGGAAUAUUCUAGCACGAAGUCAGCCAUUACUUGGCCUUUCAUGGACAAUCUGGGUUGAAAUUCGAUUCCAAAUUCGCUUAAUUCGAUGGCCCAUUGUAGCAUUCUUCCGGUUAAAUCUGGUUUGUGCAGAAUGUUGCGAAGGGGCUGGUCAGUUAGUACGAUCACUGGAUGAGCUUGGAAAUAAGGGCGGAGCUUCUAGGCAGCGCUUCGAAGGGCUAAGGCUGUUAGCUCCAUUUUUGAAUAUCUGGUUUCUACGUCUGCCAAUGCCCUGCUGACGUAGUAGAUAGGUUUUUACUCCUUGGGCGAGGGGCAGCGGAAUAGAACGGCGCUGAUUGCCCAUUCUGAUACCGCCAGAUACAUAUACAAUUUCUCCUUUGGAAUGAGACUGUUCAAGAUGGGCGGUUGCGUAAGACAAUGCUUAAUCUUUUCGAAAGCGUUCUGGCAACUGUCCGUCCAUCCGUGUGCUCCAGCUUUUCAUAUUGCCAAGAAGAAGGGUCGCAAUUCAUCAAUGAAGCGGGCUAUAAAACGCCCUAGUGCGACGAGCUUGCCUGUGAGUCGUUGUAGCUCCUUCUUGUUCCUGGGAGGGGGUGUUUCCAUGACUGCCUUGACUUGAUCUGGGCUGACUUCUAUGCCCUUUGGCUGAUCAUAAAUUCCAGAAAUUUGCCAGCACUUACGCCAAGGGCGCAUUUAGAAGGAUUUAGCUUCAUGUCAUACUUUCGUAAGAGGUGAAAAACUUCUUAUAAGUGAAGGACAUGAUGCUCUCGGGUUUUGCUUUUAACCACGAUAUCAUCAAUAUAUACCUCUACCGUGUGGCCUAUCAGAGGUUUGAAGAUUUUAGUCAUCAAUCUUUGAUAAGUGGCGCCAGCAUUUUUGAGUCCGAAUGACAUGACUUUGUAGCAAUAGAGGUCGUGUGGCGUUAUGAAUGCUGUCUUUUCUUCGUCAUCCGGGGACAUGGGGAUUUGAUGAUAUCCGGAGAAGGCAUCCAAGAAAGAGAGCAUCCCUUGCCCGGAAGUGGAAUCCACAAUUUGAUCUAUUCGUGGCAAGGGAAAACUGUCUUUUGGACAUGCAUUGUUGAGAUUGGUGUAAUCUACACAAACUCGCCAUUUUCCUUCUUUUUUAGGUACCACCACUACGUUUGCCAACCAAUCCGGAUAAGAUACUUCUCUGAUGAAUCCAGCUAUUAGCAAUUUGUCAAUCUCAUUCCGGAUGACUUUUUGUCUAUUCGGGUGGAAACGUCUAAUUUUCUGUCGGACGGGUCUGGCAGUUGGAAAGACGUUAAGCCUGUGAGAUGCAAUAGAGGGAUGAAUUCCCUUCAUAUCAGAGUGUGCCCAUGCGAAAAUGUCAUGAUUCUGUCUGAGAAUGUUUUGCAUGCUCUGAGUUUCUUCUUGUGUCAUGAGGGAACUGAUGUUCGUGAGGUGAGUGUUUUCCUCCGAAAUUUGGAUUGUUUGCAAGGGGUAUGCUGUCGGGGGAUCUUUGUCCGCCGGACCCAAUAAUUGCUAUUGGUCAUGUGUAUGGCUGGGUUUAGGGGGAGAUGCAUCUUCCUGGUUGACCCCUGCUUCACGUGCUAUCUGAUAGCAUUGGCAAGCGGCUAAUUGACUGCCAUAUAGGUCGAUUUGGCCAUCGUUGGUGAGAAAACUCACUAUUUGAUGAUAUGUAGAGGGGAUAGCUUUCAUGUAGUGGAGCCAUGUGCGCCCCAAAAUGACAUUGAAGGGUGAUAACUCCUGUACUACUGAAAACUGUACGUUGAGAGUGACUGGGCCUACUUGGACCGGCAGUACAAUGUCUCAUAAGGAUGUAGUUGAAGACCCGUUGAAUCCGGAUAGGAUUCGUCCAGGGUUUUCGAGGCCUGUGAGAUUGUGUCCCAUGUGGCCAACAACUGAUGCUUGCACAAGAUUGGCCGAACUGCCUGGGUCAACCAAGAUACGCCGCACAUCGAAGUCCCCAAUUUCCAGGGACAAGAUGAGGGCGUCGCGAUGUGGUUGCAGUGUCCGGGUGGGAUCUACUGGUGGGAAAAUGAUUGUCCCAUCUAUGGGGCGAGGGCCCCCUCCAGUUAGCCCAGGCCAGAUGGAAUUGAUGCGUUCGUGUAUUGAUGCGGCCCGCAACAAUUUUUGUCUCUUUCGCCUAGAGUCGUACUCCUCGUCAGAUGGACCUCCGUUAAUAUAGUUUAUAAUGACCUUGGGGGCAGCUGGGGCCCUAGGGGUCCCGGGGUUGUGAUGUUGGGAUGCGUCCCUUCCUCCAUUAUCUGAUCGGAGGUAUUGCUUCAAAUGCCCUGCUUUUAUGAGUCUCUCGACCAGAAACUGGAAAGCUCGGCAUGUCUCUGUUGUAUGGCCAUGAUCCUUGUGGAAGGCACAUCUCCUACUACGAUCCCUUGUGGAUGGGUCCGUUCCAAUGGGUCUAGGCCACUUGAAGUCGGACAAGCCCUGGAUCAUUGGGAGAAGUUUCUCAUAUGAUAUGGAAAGAGGUGUGAGAGGUGGCAUUUCCGGGCGACUUGGCCCUUCCUACCUUCGGUCAGACGGCUUUGGCCGAUCCGGAGGUUUAGUGUUUCUCUCCGCAUUACUUCUAGAUGGUCGUCCGGCAACCAAAACUUGCUGGGUGGCUGCACGUACGUCAUCUUCGAGCAUUGAAUAUUUGUUGGCGCGCCUAAAUAAAUCAUCCAUUGUUGUAGGAGGUUUUUUAGCCAGUGAUUCGAAAAAUGGAGUGUCUGGACAGAUGCUUCGCUUGAAGAUCUGUAGGACAGCAUCCAUACUACAAGCCUCUACUUGAAGCACGGCUUGGCCAAAUCGCUUCACGAAUUCCCUCAAGGAUUCGUUAUCUUGCAUUUUUAUGUUCUGCAGGGUGCUGAUAUUUUGCUUGUGUCGAGCGGAGCACAAGUAUUGUCCCACGAAAGCUUCGGACAGGUCCCUGAAAUUGCCAACAGAGUUGGGAGGUAGGCGAUGAAACCAUGAGAGGGUCUGUCCUUGUAGGCUGACGGGAAAUACUUUGCAUAGUAGUGCAUCAUUGCCAAUAUCGAGCGUCAUUAGCUGUCGAUAAUGCAUGAUGUGAUCGAAGGGAUCGUUGGUUCCAUCGUAUGUGGAAAACUUUGGUACGAGGAAUCCCCUUGGGGGCUCGUAAUUAAUGAUAUGAGAGCAGAAAGGCGUGGAGAGCAUGUCAUCCAGCCUUUUGCUGAUGGAGCCAAUGGGUGGCUCGUUUGGGAUGUUUCUCCUAGUUGGUUGUUCCGCUGGGUGCGAAUGAACGUUCCGCAUCACGGGGGUGACUACGGGGUCACGAUGCGGGUGAACGUUUUGCACCAUGGGGGUGGCCAUGGGGUCAGGGCGUGGUGCCCAGGUUGUGGCCAUUGGUGACCUUGAUCUUCCAGGCUCUUAUGGGCCUAGUCUUGCGCGCAUCGAAUUUGACAACUGGGAUUUUUUAUCACGUUGUCUUUUUGCUGAAAAGUGAGUAGAGUCUGAGCUUUCCUCACGGGGAGCUCGAGGCAUAGGCGUGCGUGGCUCAUGAGGUCUUACGUUGCAUGCUCCUGGGAUAGCUCCUGUUGUCCCAGGAUAUAUUGAUUCUGGUUCUUGUUGAGGCCUUGAGUUUGCUACUUGGCCCCUUGAACGCUGACGUCGAGGAGGCCCUGAUGUUGAAGCCUGGAUGCGUAAUACAUCGUUUUCUUCUCUCAAUCUUUCUGUCUCCUGGAGGAGAGCUUUCAGUUGUUGCUCGCUUGCCAACUGUCUCCUUUCGAUGGCUUGACGCCAUUCAAGAUUAUCCUCCACUCCUUUACCAGAUGAUCGGCUUCGGGAAGGUGUGGCCAUCUUUUUUAGUGACUGAAUCAAAGUAAAAAAAAGUUCCCACAGACGGCGCCAAUGUUGAUGCCUCGCGCUCCUAGUGUUCCACGUAGUUGCCAAAUGAAUGGACACGCGAUCUCAACCCACAAAGGUUCUUGAUUCAGUCGUUGUACCUGCAAAAGACAUCCGAACAGGGUGUCCGGACGCACCCUCCGAUGGUUUUGUUAGCCAUGGUUAGAGAGGGAGAUAUAAAUCAGUUGGUCUUUUACUAGGUAUCAGGAGAUCACCUUCUUCUUCGUGCAAAGGUUCAUAUAUAGUGCCAGGAGUACUGUUCCUCUCAUUAAUGGCGAGGAGAUAUUUUAUGUUUGUCAUGAUGACAUUCGGAGGCAGCAUGGUCAUCGCCACCCUACUGGCGGCUGUCAGAAACCAUGGUAGGUGAUGCUGCUAUCAGAGAUCGUGGGAAGUGAUCAUGUAGAAUGAUCGUGGGAAGUGACUUGUUGUCACCUCAACUCGUCCUUUCACUCUACAGGCGAUGGGACGUGGGCCAUGGCUGGUUUGUUGCGAUAGCGUGUAAGACUCGCUUUACUUUAGUCAAUGAUCCGGACAAUCAUAUCCGGAUAGCCCAUGUUGGUUAUCCGGAUGUAUUGUGGAGCGGACGUAUUUAUGGAAGCCGUCCGGAUGCCUAUGCUUCGUAAGCGUCGUUUGCUCUUCCUUGAGGCAGUCCGGAUAUACAAGGUGCGCCAUGUGUGCUUUAUAAGAAGGUCCGGAUGAGGGUGACCCGGAUGACAAUGCGUGCCAUGGGUCACUGUAAGAUACGUGCCACGUGUCUCGGCCAGAUGCGUGGCACGUGUUCUCAGAGGGCGGGGUCCCUACACCCACCAUUGAUAACUGUGGAGAUCUGCCAAACUUAAUUGGAGAUGGUGAGGGGUUUUGAAAGUUGGAGUGAUGGAGUUGAGUUCAAAUUUUCAAGAGACAGACAUACUCUGCUUCACCUAUUAUAUAUUCAAUUUUUUUUGUCACCUUCUUUCCUCAGUUUUCUUCUAAUUUUCUCCUCUGUUUUUCUUACAAUUUUGGUAACUACAAUAACAUUUAAACCCAAUUUCUCAAUUAAAAUUAAAUUAAAUUAAAUUAAAAUUUAAAAUUUUUCUAUGUAAUUUAGAUGAAAAAUAAUUUAUCAUAUAUUAGUAAAAUUGUCAUUAAAAAAAGAAUGAGUAUGACUAAGAUAGACUAAGAUAAAUUGUUUUUUUCCCUCAUUUUGUUCUCUUAUUUUUGAAGUAAAUUUAGAAUUUAUUUAAUGAAUUCUUACUAACAAAAAAAAUCAAAUAAUAAAAAAAAAAUCACUUAAUUUGAUAAGAAAUGAAUUUAAAAUAAAUCUACAAACUUCCAAAAUGAAAUUAAAAUUGAGGUUUAAUUACAUGAUAUCAUAACUCAUCCAAUUGUCAAUAAAAUUAUAAUUAAUUUUUUUUUAUUAUAAAAUUUUAAGUUUAGCUCAUUAUAAUACAAUUAAAAAAAAUCAACUAUCAAUUAAAAUUGUAGAGAAUAAUUCAAAUUGGGCUAAAUAUCCACUAGAGUUAAUAAUUUUAAUUAAUUUUUAAAAAUCCAAAUUUAAGCGGUAAUUUUUUUCCCUAAAUUAAAAAACCAAAAAUUAAAGAAUUAAUUUGAAUAGUCAAAUAUACUUUCAAUCACAAAUGCAUAAAUUUAAAUGUAUGUGUCACAUAAAAACCACUAAGUAAUUAAUACAACUUAGUCUAGAAAAUUUUCAUUUCUGUUAGAUAUGGACUCCCUUAUUUGGAAUUUUCUCCUUCCUCUGUUUUGCUUGCAUUUCAUUUUUUGGGCAGCUGUAGCCAUUUGGUAACUACAAUUACACUUACACCCAAUUUCUCAUUUAAAAAAUUAAAAUAAAAUAAAAUUCAAUCUUAAAAAUUUUGUAUGCAAUUUAGGUGAGAAAUAAUUUAUCAUAUAUUAGUAAAAUUGUCAUUAAAAAAGAUUGAAUAUGACUAAGAUAAGUUGUUUUUUGUCCCCAUUUUGUUCUCUUAUUUUCAAGUAAAUUUAAAAUUUAUUUAAUGAAUUCUUACUAAAUAAAACAAAUCAAAUAUUAUAAAAAUCUCUUGGUUUGAUAAGAAAAGAAUUUAAAAUAUAUCCAGAAAGUUCCAAAAUCAAAACUGAGAUUUAACUACAUGAUAUCGUAGCUCAUCCAAUUCUCAAUAAAAUUAUAAUAAAAAAAAUUAUAUUAUAAGUGAAUUUAUUACAAAAUUUCCAAUUUAGUGAAAUUUCUAUAAUUAAAAUUCUAGACUAUAAUUCAAAUGCAUCUAAAUAUCCACUAGAGUUAAUAAUUUUAAUUAAUUUUGAAAAAUCAAAUGUUAGGUGGUGAUGUUUUUCUCUAAAUUAAAAAUCCAAAAAUUAAAGAAUUAAUCUAAAUAAUCAAACAUUGGAUUCAAUUACAAAUUCAUAAAUGUAUCACAUAAAAACCACUAAAUAAUUAAUACGACUUAAUCUAGAUAAUUUUCAACACUUUGUUAGUAAUCAAACAUAAUUAUUAUAAACUUUUGUUAUUAUAUUAAAUCUUGUUAUUUUGAAGCAUUUAGAAAUAUGUUAAAUUACUCUUUUUUUGUGCCCAACCCCCUCUUUCCUUAUAGGCGAGACGAAGGUUCUAUCCUCAUCAUGUGAAUCUGAAAAUUCUCUAAUCACACUUUAGGUAAAAAAAAACAAAAAAAAAAAAAGAAAAGUAAAGAGUGUUUUAUGGACCUAAUCUGUUUUUAGAAACUUUUUAUUUAAAAUAAAUAAAUAAAGCCUAAGGCUAUGUUUGGUUCCCGGAAAAUUUGAGGGAAAAUACGAGGGAAAGAAAAUACAAAAGAAAAGUAGAAGGAAAGAAAAAGUGAAGGAAAAUAAAAAAAUAGAUUAAAAUUUGAUAAAUUAUUUUUUUUGUUACUUCAAACUCAUUUUAUUUAUUUUAACUCAUCAAUAUAAAGAUUAAAUAAUUUAAAAAUACAUAAGUUUUUAAUUAGUUUUAAUUAUAUUUGAUUUUCUUUGAUAUUUUUCAUAGGACAACCAAACAUGAGAAAAUCAUUUUUCUUAGCAUUUUUUUUCUUUCCUUUGUACUUUCCGGGAACCAAACAUAGCCUAAAUUUCCAAUUUAGUGAUCGGGUUUAGUGCUUGAGGGAACAUAAGGCCGAGGAAGUGUGGGCCAUAGAAUUGGGCCUUCUUUCUAUAUUCUUAUUUUGGCAUUUCUUUACCCUACUUGAAUCCCAUCCCACAUCGAGCAGUCACGAAAGAAAUGAGAUGUUCAAAUUACAAGCUUCCUCGUGAUCAAGAAGUGGCAUCAAAGUUCCGGGGAAAUAGGGGGGGGGAACUCCAGGGGCCCAGGGGGAGGGGGGGGGGGAACGCCAGGGGAAUCAGGCAGACAUGAGUGAGUAACUCCCCGCCUCGCCGGAGCUGCUGACCGUGUUGAAUCCAUCCACAAUGACUGGCAGCAUAGCACAACAUCUCCACCCACACCUCACUCACCAUCUUCCAUUUCUCUCCCAUCUCCAUAUUCAGUGAUCUCAACUCCUUGGCAAGCCUACAUGCCUCGAAUAACACUGACUUGCUUUUAUCUCCUUUCACCUCUUUGGGCUCAACUUCUGUGUCAACUUCAAGCAACAAUCUGCAAGCUUCAUUUCUGUUAGAUAUGGACUCACUUCUUUGCUGGAAGAAUCUUUUGGUCUCUGAACAAGUGUCUCGGAAUCUAAACUCCCCUAUCCCUUUUGGCAGCAUAAAUGGACACAUGACUAGCAGAUACAACAUAUACUCAGACAAGCAUUUGCUUAUUUUGCAUCUUGAUUUAGGAUUGGGGUCAUCAUCAGAAUAGCUACAGAGAUCUGUUGCAAUAUGCCAAAGAAGGAUGCUGUGAUCAAAUUUCACGUCAACUAUACUCCAACCAAGUGUCUCAAUAACCCGCCUUUUUGUAAUCACAUAAUCACCUCUGUGUUUCAGUAGUGACCUGAGAUCCCUGACAUCAUUUGUCAUCUCUAGGAGCAAGCUGAAGAUCGGUUCCUUCAUGUCAUCCACCUUCUCCCAAGUCAUGUACCAGUACCUCUCUAAGAAAUUGUUCAUGUCAAGGAACCUGGGAACCUGAUUGAACUUGGUUUUGUCUCUGAGGCAAGAAUCAAUUAAAUUGUUCUGUGCCAUUCGUCUAGACCAUCUCUUGUCACUGGUUAUAACUGAUCUAAAAGAGGUAAUGGCUCGGUAAAUGGAAUCAGCCAGGGAGUUCGUCUUGCUGCUCAACCAGACAAUGCUCCAGUCGGACAAAAUCAGCUUAGUGAGGGCAUAAACCUCAAGAAAAAUAGCUCCAAAGAGUAAUAAGUAAGUAAUGUCGAUGUCAAUGUUUGAGAACUGGUGCUUAUCGAUGAAGAAGUGGAAGGCCGCUAAAGUAGAAAUAGUGAAGGAGAAGCUGGUGGAACGGAGCAGAAUGCCAAGUAGAGAAUAAAUCACUGUUGCCUUGGUGUAUAGCACAUCAUACAUAAAAUUGAGCUCCAUCUCCACCACUUUGAAGGCGUCUUCGGAUGACAUGUACCUGAUGAUGCCCUCACUGGUUUUUUGGUCAUCCAAGCUGAGGAUGAGGUCUGCAUAUAGAUGCUUGAAUUGGUUCUUGAAUAAGAAGUAAGCUUUGUCAAUAUAUUUUCUACUAGGAACAGUAAUGUCAUCACCAACGGUAGAUUGAAGUGGAUUUUCACCAGUCUUUUCUUUCCUGAUUCGCUCAGCCUGCGUGUCGUAAUUCCGUGAACUAUAUUUCUCCAUGAAAUGAGCAUAAUCAGGUCCAGGAUCAGGAACUAGAAGCAAAGAAUCUCUAAAGUGAUUCUUGCUUGCAGAUCUCAGAACCCAGGUCCUCUCUCCAUACUUGAUAAUUCCAGCCACAAACAUUGGAAUGGAUAGAAAUGUGAGUGGAGUUCCUGCCCAUGACCUCAGAAACACGUAGAAAGCCACUCCAACUUGGACAACUAGUCCAAGCAAGUGCCUUAACCACAACUCAUUAUCUUCUAAGGAGUAAGCCGUGAUAGUGUCCGGACCACCAAGGUGCAAGAGAAGGAAUGGCGCCCAAAAUGCCAUGAGGGUAUAGUUUGGAUCCAGAAGUUUCCCUUCCGAAUCUCCUUGGCUGUUUGAGAGGGUACCGAGGGAUACUGUCGCCACCCAGUCUGCGGACAAGUAGGCCGACCAAAUCAGGAUUCUGAUCCAAGGCGUGACUGUGUACUUUCGUCGGUUGCUAAAGAUGAUUAGGACGAUUUGUAGGAAAAGGCUUAGUAGAACCAUCAAGCGUAGCUCCCAUUCAUUCCAAAGUUUCCGCAUACUUUCUGGGAAUAUCUGCAUUGCUCUCGCGCCUGUUCUCUGUAAAAAGAUCAAACUGAAAACAACUAGACAUUCAAAAAUAUUAGAGCCAAAAAUAAAGAAUAAAAUAAUAAAUUUGUAAAAUAAAACUCUUAAAUUCAUACCAAUCAUUUUUCACUUUUAUUCAUUUGCCACUUGUAACUUUCCAACAUUUAUAACUCAACAUUAAAGUUUAACACUUAAUUUUUAAUCUUCAAUUUUAUUAAACACCUUAUAAAUAGCUUCACUUUUCACUUAAAAUUAGAAAGAUAGGUUGUUUCACCAUUUUUUUUAUACAUUUUUUUAUAAACUAUUUUUAAAUUAAAGAAUUAAAAAUGAUAAAACCGUUUCCUAAAAUCAUUGUCAAACACACUCUAAGUUAUUAACUUUUUAAAUUAAUUUAUCAAAUAUCAUCUUACAUUUAGCAUAGAAACUUUAAUUAUACUGUUCCCUAAAAUAAAAAUAAAAGUAUUAUGUCUGGUAACAAAAUCUGAACUUGUCCUACAUGAGUUAGAGCCAAAAAAAAAAUGAAGAAUAAAUUAUUAAUGGUUGAUAGGAACUACAUAUGAACUUAAAAGUAAGGAGGACUUCAAUAAAGGGCUGAUUUUGGCUCUCCUGGAAUCUGAGCAAAGUAUGUAGUUCAGGAAUUGUUGGUCACAGUACUCAUACUGUAAGGGCAUCACCAGCAACAACAAUAUGAUAUCAUUCUUUACUUCAUUAUAAUGCAAACAUAACUCUUUUCCUUUCAUUUAUUCCCAAUUUUGCUUUGUGCAGAAUCAUCUGAUCACUAGGGUGUACUCAUAAAGUCAUAUUAAUAAUUGUAAGGGAAGGGAGAAGCCCAGAGUGUAGGACUUGGUCACAAGUCAAGAAACACAUACUAAUUUCGCCUUUGAUUUCGUGGAACAGUGUUAUGGCUGUAAUUUUGAUGGGUUGAUUGCUAACCCAAAUUCAACCAGAAGUAAAAAACAAUUGAUCAAAAUCUAACCCAAUGUGACUUCUAACCCAAAGUAUUAAGCCAAAACCUAGCCAAGCCUCAUGUCUCUAAACCCGAUUAAGUUCAAGGUAGUCAAGUUUUGUUUCAGGUUAAUUGAGUUACAUAAUUCAAAAUCCAUCAAUAAUGUUUUUUUUUAUACAAAAUUUCUAUAUAUUUAUACGAAAAUUUAAAUAAUAAAAUACGACAAAAUUUAAAUAUGACAACAAAAAUGUAAAAACAAAUUUGUAUAUAUAUAUAUAUAUUUUUUAAAUGAAGAUAUAUAUUAUAUAAUAUUAAUUUGAUAUUUUUUCAUAAAAAUAUAAAAAAUGAAUAUUAUUGUAAAAGAUAAUAUACAUUAUAAAUAUUAAGAAAUAUUAAAUUGAGUUUAGAUUAGGUUCGCAUUGUUUGAGCCUUACCUUUGACCUGACUACAAACCAAAUUGAACUUAGUUUGAAAAAACUUAACGCAAGCCCAAUUACAAUAAUGAAAAUGAUUAUUCAAACCCGAUGAAAAUAUAAUGUUUUUUUGAGUUAUAUAAUUCAAAAUUCAUUUAUAAUAUUUUUUUAAAACAAAAUUUCUAUAUAUUUAUAUGAGAAAUUAAAUAGUAAAUAAGACAAAAUUUAUAUAUAACAACAAAAAAGUAAAAAUAAAUAUAUAUUAUAUAAUAUUAAUUUGAUAUUUAUUUCCUUAAAAAUCUAAAAAAUAAAUAAAUAUUACUAUAUAAAAUAAUUUACAUUAUAAAUAUUAUAGAAACAUAAAAUUGGGUUCAAAUUAGGUUUAUGUUGUUCAAACCUUAGUCUUAACCUAGGCACAAACCAAAAACAAAAUUUCAGAGAAGUUUGAGUUUACCAAAAUAGAAAAAUAUCAAAUUUUCCAUAAAGUAAUGAAGGAAAUCAAUGGACAAAAGAUCUUCUUUUGAAAAGAUGGGGGGCGGGGUGGGUGGGGGUGGGGGUGGGGGUGGGGGGAAAGAGCAAAAAAUAUAUACAAUUUAAGCUGUUAAACGAACUCAAUAUUCUCCGAGUCAAUCCAUGCAAUCCAACGUCUCAUGAAUUUUAAACAAUUUCUCAGAAGAAUAAACAAAUGAAGCAUAAGUAAAAAGAAGAAGAAGAAGAAGAAAGAAUCGGUUUGAAAGCAAAAUAAGAAGGGAAAUAUACCAAAGAGUAUGACGGUGGGGGCUCGGUUGGAGCUGUUCACAGAGUUCAGCUCAUGAAGGUGGAAGUAGUGUGCUGGUGAAAAGGUGAUGGCUGGAGAUGGAGGCCGACGGCAGUGAGAAUGGUGACUUUGUGACUCUUGAAUGGGUUGCAGUAGUGGUUUUAAACCAGAGAAAAAGGCAGAAAAGAAAAAGAAAACAGAAGAAGAGACAGAGGAGCGAGACUGAGAGAAUCGUCUUGUGGGCCGGCCGGAGCGUGUGGCUAUAGCAAUAAUUCAAAGAAAGGAAUCCAUUUCUUUUUCAUUUUCCUUUCUAUCUCUUUUUUGUCGCCAUUAAUCAAUUUUCUGUCAAUGACUGGCAACAGUGCUUCUCAAUUAUUCAACUAUGGAAACUUCCAAGAGUUAAGAGUAAUAGGAAGAAGAAUAGAUUCAGGCGAACUGAUGUAACAGUGGAGGCCAGUCAACAGCGGUGGGGUGUUGGGGAAUGAUGUGCAGUAGAGGCUCGGGAUGUUAAGUCUUGGAAUAAUGCGAUGUUGAAUGCAUAAAAAGGUUUUACCACCCUACAUUGAUAAUCAAUUCGCUUUAAAAUGAGCUUAGGAUGUGAUUCUCAAGUUACGGAUUCAAGUCACCAAAACCUCAUGUUCUAAUUUUUAAAUUUGUAAUAUCUUAAAGACUGAGCCCCAAAAUAAGCUUCAAGGUCAUAAAACGCUAGGUAUUAAACUCCAAGAUUUCAACCUUGGGAUGAAUUUGUUGUGAUUCUCAAAGAUGGUUAACUCAACAACCUCAUUGUAAGUUGCCUCAGGGAUAUUCAGCCAAGAAAGACGGAAGAAACGAAACCGAAUCCUCCAGCCAAUCUAGGAUGUGAUCUGAAGUGGGGUUAGGCUCGGGUUCUUCAAUGGUCAUUGUGGGGGAGAAAGAAUGGAUGAAGAAGAGAAAGGGUGUAGAACUGUUUGAUCAUUGACCAAGGAGGAAGAUAAAAGAGGGUGUGAAACACCAUUAAAAUAAUGAAAUGGGGGGUGAUGGUUUUUUGGAAGAGACGAUGGAGAGCAUAUUGAAGUUGGUGGGGGGUGGUGUGCAUUUGGAAGAUGUGAUGUUGUUAUUAAGGUUUUUUUAAAGCCUCUAUAAGAGAGUAGAAACAUGGGUUUCUUAGUUUUUUCUUUGGUGUAUUAACUUAUUCCUUUGCAUAUGUCAUGGUGAUGGAGACGUGCCAAGCUUGAUUGGAGAUGGUGAAGGGCGGCUUUGAAAGUUGGAGACAGUGAUGGGUUGGGUUGAGUUCGAAUUUUCAAAGAGACGGCAAUCUGCUUCACCAAUUAAAUAUGGGUUGUUAUAUGGUACCCACUCUUCAUUUUGGGGUACCUACCCACAUUUGACCCCAAUAAAAAUAUGACAUGUGUAAAGUACAUAUCACUAAAAAAUUUAUAAAAACUUAUCAAACCGGUAAAGAUGACUUGUUGGUGAGAAAUAAUCACAUGCAUUUCAUAUAUAUCUAAAUAUUACAAUUUUUUAUAAUUUAUUAUUAAAUAUCAAAUAUAAUUUGUUAUUUAAUGCAUUACCUAACCCUAUCUAAAAAAAGAAAAUCUUACCUACUACUCUUAUACUCUCAUUAUUCAUAUAUAAAAAAAAGGAUAGUAAUUUAAUAUGAAAAUUAAAUAAUUUCAACUACCAAAUUACAAAAUAUGUAAGAUGUAUUUUGAUGAAUCAAAUUUCAAGAUCAAGUUCAAAACUUUUUGACAGAGAAAAUUUAAAAUUUGUAUUAUAUGAAGAAGAUGAAGAAUUUCAAGUGAUUACAAGUGUCAAAGGUAAUAUUUGAUAUUUUUUUAUCCAAAUAUAAUUGUUGUAGGAAGAAAUGUGAUGUUAAAUAACGAUUUUAUAAUUUUUUAUGAGUUUAUUAUAAAAUUUUGUUAUCAAAUUGUUAUUAAUAUUUUUAUAUAAUUUUUUUUUUUGUUCAUAGAUUAAAUUUGAAGAUGAAGCUUUAUAUGUCUUGAAGGAUGUCAAGUGAUUACAAGUGUUAAAAGGUAACAUUUGAUUUUUUGUUUCCAUUUACAUAUAACUAUUAUAGGUAGAAAUGUCAUGUUAAAUGACAUUUAAAUAUGUAAUGAUUUAUAAUAUCUAGAUUUUUUAAUUUUUUUUUCUAAGUUAUUUUUAAUCAAAUUGAGAGCAUUUAGUAAUUUGUUAUGAAAUUGUCAUCAAUAUUUUGUAAGAGAGAAUACGAACUUUCUAAUGGAGGGUACGAACUUUCUAAGGGUGGGUACGAACUUUCUAAGGGUGGGUACGAACUUUCUAAGAGAGGGUACGAACUUUCUAAGAGAGGGUACGAACUUUCUAAGAGAGGGUACGAACUUUCUAAGGGUGGGUACGAACUUUCUAAGGGAGGGUACGAACUUUCUAAGUUAGGGUACGAACUUUCUAAGGGAGUGUACGAACUUUCUAAGGGAGGGUACAAACUUUCUAAGAGAGUGUACGAAAUUGGUACGAACUUUCUAAGAAUGGGUACGAACUUUAUAAGGGUGGGUACGAACUUUCUAAGAGAGGGUACGAACUUUCUAAGGAAAGGUACGAACUUUCUAAGAAAGGGUACUAACUUUCUAAGGGAGGGUACGAAAUUUCUAAUGGAGGGUACGAAAUUUCUAAUGGAGGGUACGAAAUUUCUAAGAGAGUGUACGAAAUUUCUAAGAGAUGGUACGAACUUUCUAAGGGAGGGUACGAACUUUCUAAGGGAGGGUACGAACUUUCUAAGACAUGGUACGAACUUUCUAAUGGAGGGUACGAACUUUCUAAUGGAAGGUACGAACUUUCUAAGAAUGGGUACGAACUUUCUAAGAGAGUGUACGAACUUUCUAAGAGAGGGUACUAGACAUUCAACUAAAGUAAUUAUAUUGCAUUUGUAUUGUACUUAUACUUUAUAACUGAAGUAAUGGUUCUUUUACACAACCUUCAAACUACUAGACAUUCAACUCAUCAUACCAAAAUAAUACUUAUACAAAAAGGUAACAAAUUCAUAACAAAAAUAUAGUGAUCUUAACUCUUUAACAAAUUCAUAAUAAAAGACAAGGUGGUCUCGUACAAAGGGGAUUUCAGUUUUCAAUGAAAAUCCAAAUAUUGUUCAUAAAUACACAAACAAAGUGGUCCCAAACAAGCAUAAAACAACUGAGAACAUUUUUUCUUCAACCAUGUCAAAAAGUCUUAACAACAAAACUAAAGUGCAAACCUUUUCAAUGGAAAUCAAUAAUAAUCAUAUCAAACAACCCACUCGAAAAAUAAAUUAAAAAUAAAAACACAUCUUCAAUAUGACCAAAAUAAUAUAAAAAAAAUUCAAAAUAAUAAAUUUAAAUAACAUUUUACACAAAAAAAAAUGUAAUUUCUUUCUCAAAACCUUCUUCAAUAUUUUAGAUCUAAUAUUUUACAGCUACAUUGUUAAAAUUAUUAACUUUUCAUUCAUUCAAUCCGAUUUUUAAAUUAUUUAUUUAUUUUUUUCCAUAAACUUACAUUUUUUUUUUGGUAUUAAAAAAAAAAAACUUACCUUUAAUGGAUUUCUUGCUAGAUUCACACAAAAAACAAGCUUUGUGUAAACAGUUGCAGAUAAUGACUUGAAGUGCUGGACCUUUUUCUUUUCCUUUUUUUCUUCUACAACACCGACAAGUUGCAGGUAGGUUAAAGAAAAAAACUCUUUUUUCUUUCCUGUUACUUUUCACUUUGCUUUGCUUUUCACUUAUUAAGGAUAAUUUUGGUAUUUAAACAAAAUAAGGCUUUUGGAUGAAUUAUCAUAAUUUCACCCUACCCUUCACAAUAAUUAUCAAAUUUACCCACCCUCAUCAGUCAUAUUUUUCCCCAGCCUACCCUUAAGGGUAAUUCUCCCUUUUUCAUAUCCUCUCUAAUUUUUUAGUGUUUUAAUUUUUAAAUUUUUUAGGAUAAUUUACAUUAUUUCCAAUUAAAAAAAAUUUUAAUGCUUAAUUUUUUUUAACAAUUCUAUCAAUAAUAACUCAAAAUAAUAUUAUUAAACUAUGUUAUUGUUAUUUCAAGUUAAAAAGUAAAUCUAAAAUUUUAAAAAUAUAAAUAAUUUAGGGUACGAAAAAUAUGAGAACAGUAUGAAAAAUGUGAUAAAUACAUGUUUGGUACUUUUAUCACAUUUUUCAUAUUGAUUUUUAGUUUUAAAAUUUUUGAAAUUACAAAUUUAUUUUUGAAAAUACUAUCAUUUGUAACUUAUAAGAGUAUUAGUAAUUUAUUUUAUUGUAAUUUAACUUUAAAAAUCUUAAAUUCAAAAAAUGUAAAAUUUGGAGAGUACGGAAAAAAAUUAGGACGAUCUAAUUACCUAAACUUUACAUAUGAUUACCAAAAUGUUGAAUUUUUAUUAAAAUACUUAUUUCAUAUUAAAAUAUUACCAUAUUCAUUUUUAUGUUGAAUUUAAAUGUUUAAUAAUUUUUUAAAAAUAAAAUAAUGUAAUUAUGAUAUAUGAUGAUUUUUUUUGUUAAUAAAUAUGUUUUCAAAUUUUAUAUCAUUUUAUUUUUUAUUUUUUUCCAAUUCUAUUUUUAUCUAAUAUUUAUUUUAUUUAAACCCAAUAUUGUUGAAAAUGGAGGAAGAAAGAAUGCCACAACCGGUUCUUCCCUUUACUGGUUAAGUGGAGUUUUUAUUUCAAAUUGAAAAUGGAUGGCCAAGAUGUAAUCUUGGACAUCCAAUGGCUUGAAAAGCUUUUUGGGUAGGUACCGAGGAGGUACCCUAGAAUUUUCCAUUAAAUAUUUAAGCUUUUGUCACUUGUCAGCUUCCUUCCCUGUUUUCUUGGAAUCUUCUCCUUCCUCUGUUUUGCUUGCAUUUCAUUUUUUCGGCAGUUGCAGUCAUCGAGUAACUACAAUAGCACUUACACCCACUUUCUCAUUUAAAAUAAAAUAAAAUUCAAUCUUAAAAAAUUUAUAUGCAAUUUAGAUCAAUGAGAAAUAAUUUAUCAUAUAUUAGUAAAAUUGUCAUUAAAAAGAUUGAAUAUAAUUAAGUGUUUUUUUUUUUUUUACUUAAUAUUAAUAUUAAGUAUUAAGUUAUUUGUUUUUAUAAUAUUUUAUUUUUAUUGAAUAUUAAAAAAUAAAUAAAUAAUCAACACAUUACUUUUUUCAUUUAGGGUUAAGCAAAAAAUAAAUAACUUAAAGUUUGAAAGCAAAUUAUUUUUAACAAAAAGUUAAAAAAACAAACACCCUCUUAAGUGAUAAGUUAUUUUUUGUCCUCAUUUGUUCUGUUAUUUUGGAAGUAAAUUUAGAAUUUAUUUAAUGAAUUCUUACUAAAUAAAACAAAUCAAAUAUUAUAAAAAUCAAUUGGUUUGAUAAGAAAUGAAUUUAAAAUAUAUCCACAAAGUUCCAAAAUCAAAAUCGAGAUUUAACUACAUGAUGUCGUGACUCAUCCAAUUCUCAAUCAAAUUAUAAUUCAGAAAAUUCUAUUAUAAAAAUCUAAAGAUUAAAGAAUUAAUCUAAAUAAUCAAACAUUCAAUUCAAUCACAAAUUCAUAAAUUGAAAAAUGUAUCACAUAAAAAUUCCUAAGUAAUUACUACAACUUAAUCUAGAAAAUUUUCAAUGCUUUGUUAGUAAUCAUACAUAAUUAAAAUAACCCUAACCACUAAUCAAUCAUAAAUUUCUUAACCAACUAUGUAAUUAAUUAUUAUAAAUUUGUGUUAUUAUACAAAUCUUGUUAUUUUGAAGCAUUUAAAAAUAUGUUAAAUUACUUUUUUUUUUCAAAUGAUUAGUUUUUGAAUAUUUUUAUUUGAAUUACAUAAAAUGAGAAGAUAUAUAAUCAUUAAAAUCUUAAUGGUUAUUUUUAGCAUAUAAAAAUAAAUAGAUUUAACAUUUAAUUUUCAAAUAUAUUAAAUUACUACUUUUUUUAAAUGAUUAGUUUUCAAAAUACCUUCAUUUUAGUUGUAUAAAAUAAGAAGAAAUAUAAUAUUAAUAUUAUGGGGUGUUUUUAGCAUAUAAAAAUAAACAAAUUUAACAUUUAAUAACAUUCAAAUAUUAAUAAAAUAAAAAAUCUUUAAUGCCUAACAAUAUUUAAAUAUGUAAAAAGUGUAAUUUUCAAAGAACACGAGGACUUUCCGAUACUUUCAAAGUUGGAUUGGUCAUUGAAUCAUAAAUGUUAUCCCAUCAUGUAGAAUAAAGUUGGAUUAGUCAUUGAAUCAUAAAUGUUAUCCCAUCAUGUAGAAUAAUAUCCAUUCGAUGUCAUAAAUAUAUGAUUUUAUAUUUUAUUAAAAUAAUUAUAAGAAAUUAUAUAUAUAUAUAUAUAUAUAUAUAUAUAUAUAUGUAAAAUUAUAAUUAUUAAACUUAAUAACAUUUCCUCUUUUUAUAUUUAAUAUCACUAGAUUAAAUCACGAUAAAAAUGAAUAUAAAUAUAUUAAAAAUAUUAUUAAAUAAAAUAUUUAUAAGAUUUAAGUGUAAAAAUAUAUUGAUGGAAAAAAAUUUAUUAUUUAAUUUUAUUUAAGCGUCAAAAGUUAUAUACUAGUUAUUUUAUACUUUUAAAAAUGUGGUACAACUUAUAGAUCAAUUUCACCUUCCAAUACUUGGAAUUUACUCGGUUAAGCCAAGGUGAGACAUAAGAAGGCAGACAUGAGUGAGUAGCUCCCCGCCUCGCCGGAGUUGCUGACGGUGGUGGAAUAGUUGACGGUGUUGAAUCCAUCCACAAUGACUAGCAGCAUAGCAUAACAUCUCCACCCACUUAUCAUCUCCCAUUUCUCUCCUGCAGCAUCUAUUUCCAAUGAUUCAAACAUUUUGGCAAGCCUACAUGCCUCAAAUAACACCGACUUGCUUUUAUCUUCUUUCGCAUCUCUGGGCUCAACUUCCGUGUCAACUUCAAGCAGCAAUCCGCAAGCUUCAUUUCUGUUAGAUAUGGAGUUGCUUCUUUCCUGAAAAAAUCUUUUGGCCUCUGAACAAAUGUCUCGGAACCGAAACUCCCCUAUCCCUUUUGGCAGCAUAAAUGGACACAUGACUAACAGAUACAACAUAUACUCAGACAAGCAUUUGCUUAUUUUGCAUCUUGACUUGAGAUUGGUAUCUGGGGAUUUGUCGACAUCACAAGGAUAACAGAGAUCUGUAGCGAUAUGCCAGAGGAGGAUGCUGUGAUCAAAUUCCACAUCAAUUAUACUCCAACGAAGCGUUUCAAAAAACCCUUUUUUUCUAGUCACAUUAUCACCUCUGUAUUUGAGUAGCUUCCUGCGAUCCCCGGCAUCAUUUGUCAUCUCUAGGAGCCAGUAGAAGAUGGGUUUCUUCAUGUCAUCCACCUUCUCCCAAGUCAUGUACCAGUACCUCUCCAAGAAUUUGUUCAUGUCAAAGAACCUGGGAACCGGAUUGAACUUGGUUUUGUCUCUGAGGCAAGAAUCAAUUAAAUUGUUUUGUGCCAUGCGUCUAGACCAUCUCUGGUCACUGGUUACAACUGAUUGAAAAGAGGCAAUGGCUCGGCAAAUGGAAUCAGCAACGGAGUUGCUCUUACUGCUCAACCAGACAAUGCUCCAGUCAGACAAAAUCAGCAUAAUGAUAGAGUAAAUCUCCAGAAAAAUAGCUCCAAAGAGUAACGCGUAAGUAAUGUUGAUGUCAAUGUUUGAGAACUCAUGCCUAUCGAUGAAGAAGCAGAAGGCCGCUAAGGUAGAAAUAGUGGACAAGAAGCUGACAGUGCGGAGAAUAAUGCCUAAUAGAGAAUAGGCCACUGUUGCCUUGGUGUAGAGCGCGUCAUACAAGAAACUAAGCUCCAUCUCUACCACUUUGAAGGCCUCUUCGAAGGAUAUGGACCUGAUGAUGCCCUCACUGGUUUUUUGGUCAUCCGGGCUGAGGAUGAGGUCUGCAUAAAGAUGGCUCUAUUGCUGCUUGAAUAAGAAGUAAGCUAUAUGAAGAUAUUUUCCACCAGGAAUUUCGAUCUCUACUUUUGUGAUUCUAUUAACCUGCCUUUCGUCUUUCCUUGAACUACAUCCCUUCAAGAAAUCAGCAUAAUCAGGUCCAGGAAGCAAAGAAUCUCUAAAGUGAUUCUUGCUUGCAAACCUGAGAACCCAGGUCCUCUCUCCAUACUUGAUAAUUCCAGCCACAAACAUUGGAAUGGACAGAAAUGUGAGUGGAGUCCCUGCCCAUGACCUCAGAAACACGUAAAAAGCCACUCCAGCUUGGAUAACUAGUCCAAGCGAGUGCCUUAACCACAACUCAUUUUCUUCUAUAGAGUAAGCUGUGACAGUAUCCGGACCACCAAGGUGCAAGAGAAGGAAUGGCGCCCAAAAUGCCAUGAGGGUAUAGUUUGGAUCCAGAAGUUUACCUUUAGAAUCUCCUUGGCUGUUGGCGAGGGUACCAAGGGAUAAUGUUGCCACCCAGUCUGCGCACAUGUACGCCGACCAAAUCAGGAUUCUGAUCCAAGGUGUGGCUGUGGACUUUCGUCGGUUGCUAAAGAUGAUGAGGACGAUUUCUAGGAAGAGGCUUAGUGGAACUAUCAAGCGUAGCUCCCAUUCAUUCCAAAGUUUCCGCACACUUUCUGGCAAUAUCUGCAUUGCUCUCGCUCCUCUUCUCUGUGAAAAUAGAGCCAAAAAUAGAAUAAAAGAAUAAAUUUGUAAAAUCAAAUUCUUAAAUCAAAUUCAUACCAAAAAUUUCACUUUUAUUCAUUUACCACUCGUAACUUCCCAAUAAUUUAUAACUCAACAUUAAAGUUUAGCACUUAAUUUUUAUUCUUUUAUUAAAGACCAUCUAAAUGAGCUUCACUUUUCACUUAAAAUUAGAAAGUUAGAGCAUGUUUUUUUAUAUUUGUUUUAAAUUAAAGAAUAAAAAAUGGAUUUUUAGAAUUUAUUAAAAUAAGGGUGUUUGAGAAGUUGUUCAAAAAAAAAAACUUAUUUAGAUAAAUAAUUUUUUAAAAUAAUUUUUUCUAUUUUGAUUUUAUAAAAACAUUGUAAAUUUAAUUUCUAUAAUAUUAAUUAAAUUUAAUUUAAGUCUUAUUAAAAAUAAAAUUAGUUCUAUAAUUAUAAAUAAAUUAAAAAAUAAAUCAUUUUUAGUAAAAACAUAUAUAAUAACAAUAUUAUAAUAAAAGCAUAAAUUUUAUUUUUCUUAUAAAAGAAUAUACUAUUUUAGUAUGUGUUAAAAAAAUUAUAUAGGUACUAACAUUUCCGUAAAAGUGUCAUUAAUUUCUUUUUUGUUAAAAGUUUACAAUAAUAAUAAUUUAACAAUAAUAAUAAUUUAACAAUAAAUUAUUAAUAAUAUUUUAUUUAAAAUUGAACAAUAAUAAUAAUUUAAUAAUAAAUUGUUAAUAAUAUUUUAUUUAAAAUGAAUAUAGAAUGAAGUUUAACUUUUUUAACAUGUAAAUAAACCAAAAUUUAUAUUACAUGUAUACAUUUAGUACUAAAUUACAAAUACAAUAUUCUAGAAUGCUUUGAUUUAAUAAGAUUUUUUUAAAUACAAAUUAUUAUUAAAAAUUUAAAAAUUCAUCAAAAGAAUUUAAAAUUUAAUAAAUUUUAUGUAUAAAGUAUAAUUUGAUUUGAAAAUUAUUUAAUUAAUGAAAAAUUAUUAUAAAGUUAAAGAAAAUUCAUAAAAACACAUAUAAUUCAAAAGAAUAUCAUAUUAAAAAAAAUUUGAUAUCUAUAUUGGAUCAUGGAGAGAAAAACAAUGAUAUCAUGUUCUUUUUUUUUUAAUUCUUCUAUAUUUUGAUUUUUAAAAGAAAACCAAAUGAAAACAACUUCUACUUAUCCACUAAAAACUAUUCUUUAUUUUACUUUGUUUUAAAAUCUGGAAAUAAAGAUAAUGGCCAAAUAGUCUUAUUAAUUUUUAAAAACACUUUUUUAUUUUUAAAAAUAGAAAUCAUUUUUUAAUCACAGACCAAAUAGACUUCAUAGUUUAUAAUUUCUAUAUUGUAAUAUUGCCUAAUAAAUUUUUAUUUUUAAAAGAAAACCAAAUGAAAACAACUUCUACUUAUUCACUAAAAACUAUUCUUUAUUUUACUUUGUUUUAAAAUCUGGAAAUAAAGAUAAUGGCCAAAUAGUCUUAUUAAUUUUUAAAAACACUUUUUUAUUUUUAAAAAUAGAAAUCAUUUUUUAAUCACAGACCAAAUAGACUUCAUAGUUUAUAAUUUCUAUAUUGUAAUAUUGCCUGAUAAAUUUUUAAUAUUGAAACUUGUAAUAGGCUUCAUUGAUAAAUAAUUUUUGUAGUUUUUAAUUUUGAAUAUGGCUUAGGGUCAAUGAUAAUUUUUUUACAUGUUGGAUUAAUAAUAUUUUUUCACAUAUUAGAUUAAUAAUAUUUUUUUUACAUGUUGGAUUAAUAAAUUUUUUUUUUACAUGUUGGAUUAAUAAUAUUUUUUUUACAUGUUGGAUUAAAAUAUUGUAGUAGAUAUUAAUUAUGUUUUUCUAAAGUGGGUUAUGCAUAAAUUUAUAAUAAAAUAUUUUUUAUUCAUAUUUGUAAUUCUAAGGACAAUUUGUAAAAUAAAUUGUUUUUAGACUUUUUUCUUUUCCCAGUUUUAUCAAAUAUUAAAUUGAAGGUAGGACUUAAAUGUCAUAAGAUACUUUUACAAUUCUUAGACCAUAUUUGGUAAAACUUAUUACUUAUUACUUAAUUAUUUAAGUUGAUUUGAAGUUAAAUUAUAUUUAAAUUUUGAUUUAACACUUAUUAUUUAAUUUUUACUUUAAACAUUAAAGUUGUUUGUUAAAAUUAGUUUAAAACUUAUUUUAAACCAUCAUAUUGACAUAUUUAUCCUUAUAAUAUAUAAUUAGGUAAAAAAAAAAAAGUCGAAUAAUAGUGAAAAUUGUGGAGUAGCAAAGCAAAAGAGAUCGUUGAAGUAAUUAUGAUAAAUACAGAUAAAAGAUAAAAUAAAAAUAUUGACUUAAAAAAAAGUUAUUUAUUUUUAUUUGUCACUUAAAAUUAUUUUUACUGUAAGUCAUAUCAUUAGGUUAUUUUACCCAAUAUACUUAAUUUACUUAAUAAUUUAAAUUAAACUAUUAAAUCAUUUUAAGUUAUUAAAUUGAUUUAUUAAACAUUCACUUACACUUAAUUCGUAUAUAUAUAUAUAUAUAUAUAUAUAUAUAUAUAUAUAUAUAUAUAUAUAUAUAUAUAUAUAUAUAUAUAUAUAUAUAUAUAUAUAUAUAUGGAAAAAGAAAAAAACAACAACAACGCGCUCUAUAUGGGAGAGUGCAAAAAAAUGAAAAAUAAAUAACUCGUGGGUGAGGGGAAAAGAAUAUCAUAUUACAACCACAAUAAUAUUUAUUUUUAUUAUUAAAAAAAUAAACAAAUAAAACCAUAGAGACUAGUGUCUUUGGUAAACCAUACAUGCACUUACAUGAAAGGAAAACGUGUAUGAGGGGGUGGUAUUGUCUCUCCUGGAACUCCUUUGUGUGACUCACAAGUGAGAGUCCUUUCUGUGUAUUUAUAAGGGAAAAUAAUGUUUGCGCGAGGGAUGGGGUGCGGGAGUUGUUGCUCACAGUGAGCCUCCCCCGCAACAACGUGAUAUAUAAUUCUUUACUUCUUUAUAAUAUNNNNNNNNNNNNNNNNNNNNNNNNNNNNNNNNNNNNNNNNNNNNNNNNNNNNNNNNNNNNNNNNNNNNNNNNNNNNNNNNNNNNNNNNNNNNNNNNNNNNCAUUCUAUGUUAUUAAAUUUAUAUAUUUAACACUCACUCACACACAUUUUGUAUAUAUAUAUAUAUAUAUAUAUAUAUAUAUAUAUAUAUAUAUAUAUAUAUAUAUAUAUAUAUAUAUAUAUAUAUAUAUAUAUAUAUAUAUGGGAAAAGAAAAUAACAACAACAACAAGCUCUACAUGGGAUAGUGCAAAAAAAUGAAGAAUAAAUAAUUCAUGGUUGAUGGGAAAAGAAUAUCAUAUUACAACAACAAUAAUAAUUAUUAUUAUUAUUAAUAAAAUAAACAAAUAAAACCAUAGAGACUAGUGACUUUGGUAAACCAUACAUGAACUUACAUGAAAGGAAAACUUGAAUGAAGGGCUGGUAUUGGCUCUCCUGGAACUCCUUUUUGUGACUCACAAUUGGGAGUCCUUUCAGUGUAUUUAUAAGGGAAAAUAAAGUUUGAGCAAGGGAUGGGGUGCAGGAGUUGUUGGUCACAGUGAGCAUCACCAGCAACAACAUGAUAUAUAAUUCUUUACUUCAUUAUAAUAUAAGCACAACACUUUUCAUUUCAUUUAUGCCCAAUUUUGCUUUGUGCAGAAUCAUCUGAUCACUGGGGUGUACUCACAAGGCACAUUAAUAAUUGUAAGGAAGAAGCCCAGAGUGUAGGACUUGGUCACAAGUCAAGAAACACAUGCUAAUUUGGCCUUUGAUUUUGUGGAGCAAUAUUAAGGUUGCAACUUUGACGGGUUUAAUUUGAAGUACUCAAUUCAAGUCUAAUCUAAUCUUAUUUUUCAAAGAUAAGUUGAGUUUAGUGCAGUUAAGGUUAGUCUCAGGUUAAUCAAAUUGCAUAAUUCAAAAUCCAUUUAUAAUGUUUUUUUAACAAAAUUUUUAUAUAUUUAUAUGAAAAUUUAAAUAAUAAAUAAGACAAAAUUUAAAGAUAACAACAAAAAUAAAAAUAACUUCAUAUUUUUUUUAAAUGAAAAGACAUUAUAUAAUAUUAAUUUGAUAAUUUUUUCUUAAAAAUCUAAAAAAUGAAUAUUGUCAUAGAAGAUAUUAUACAUUAUAAAAAUUAUAAAAACAUUAAAUUGAAUUUAAAUUAGGUUCAUAAAACAAAUUGAAUGCGAUUUGAAAAAACUUAAUCCAAAUCCAACCCCAAUAAUGAAAAUGAUUAUCCAAAUUUGUCCAAACGACAUGUUGGGUUUAGAUUGAGUCGGGCUAACCCGCCCAUAUUGCACCCCUAAGCACUAUCCAAUAAAUAAUGAACUCGUGCAUUCACUUGAAGAGUUCUUGAUCAUCAGUGAAAGAACAUUACUGUAUUCACUGUCUAUGGCUUAAGCUUGUUGCCAACAAGAAAAACACUCAUUAAUGUUCUUGUUUUUCAGAUCCUCCUUUGCUACAUUUUAAUUACUUUCUAACCAUUAUUUCUUAACCAUCAAAAAACUCACAAGACUAGACAAAGAAUUAGCACACAGAGAGAUGCAACAGAUUCUCCACGGCUAGCUCCUCUUUUUCUCCUUAGACUCAAUUCAUGUACCAUUGACCAACUCAAAGAUCAAAGAGCAAUAAUAAUUUGUUUUGUAAUUUGGUGAAUUUUUUUGGUUGAAAAGAAAUUUAUAUACAUUCAAAUUAUUUAAUAUUUAUAUGAAAGAGUUAAAAUAAUUAUAAUAAGUUUAAAAUAGUAUAUAAAAAUUAUUUUUUGAUUUUAAAUCUAUUUUUAUUUUUAAAAUUUUAUUUUCUUAUACUUUUUAACCUAGCAUGAAUGGAAAAUUUUCGACAAAGAAAUAGAAAAAUCAACCUCAAAAUUUCUCCUCAUGAUUUGGCUAGAAAUCCAAAUAAUGGUCUUGAAAAUUUCGUAAAAUUUAGCCAAAUACUAGAAAGAAAGCUGGUUGUCCAAAAGUCAUCUCUUGCAUCCAAAUUCAGCUUCUGAAUUCAAACCUGCAAAUAUGACAAAUCAAUACAACAACAUUCACGAAGUACGAUAAUUAUAUUCAAAUUAACAAAAUCUAAGAACAUUUGAUAUUCAAGCUUCAAUAAAUCUCAUAGUUUAAAAUUUCCUAAAUGUCAGUGUGCGAGUUCUUUUAAGAGAAUAAAAAAUUCUUUUUAAUAUUUUGAAGCCUAUUUUUUUAACAAAUAUGUAGUGUUUUAUAAAUUUUUAAAAACCAUUUUUAAAGAUUCAAAAAAAUUACUUUAAAUGAUAUUUAGGCCAUCAUUCAAUGGGUAAUUGUUCCAAAAAUCGCUUUGACCAAAAUCACUUCCAAAAUGGCUCCAUUGUCACCAAAUCCUAGUGGCUUGCUUAGAUCUUCAGACUAGGAUAAGAGCUAGGUAAAAUAUUAUGUGGAGCGAAUUGUAAAGAGUGUCAAUUAAGUUAUGACUUGAAUGGGAAGAUGCCAGCAGCCCAACUGGAAAAAGCCUCUAGGCCACAGUCAUGGAAGUAUAUGCUUGAAUACCUUGGGGCUAACGCUACCUUCAUUGACCCGGGCGGCUGUUGACUGCUGAUCUCUAGUCUCUACAGAUGGUUUAACCUCAAUUAGUCCCAUACAGGCAGGAAAAGCUUGGUCAGAAAUGUUUGAAGAUUAAUCUGACAAUAUGUGAGUGGAUAAUGUUAUGAUGUUUGGUUGUGGCCUUUCCCUGAUUGCUCCUUGAAUUAUGCCAUUGCCGCAGUUUCUACGACUAAUCAGCAUAAUUUUCCUUGUCGUUUCUUUUAUAACCGAUUCCCCUUUCUCCCUUCUGAAUUAUAUUCACUUUCUUAGCUCUAAUGGACAUUAGGCGCAUUUGGUGUAACCGGAGAAGUUUAUUUCUUAUAGUUUCUCGGGUCAAGGGCCCAACUUAAGUCUUCUAUUGCAUAGAAAAAUGACUUUCUCACAUUCGUUAUUAUCAAAAAUUGUAAAGAAAAUUAAAUAUAAUUAAGAUUAAUUAGAAACUUAUCAAAGAGUUAAAAUAUAUGAAAUAGGUCUAAAAUAACAUAUAAAAAUAAUUUAUUAACUUUUUUUCACGAGGUUGGUUUGAUAUCAUCGGAUGAACGUGAGUAGAUUUUAUUAGCAAUACUAGUACAUAGUAAUCUCACCCUGGAAAUCAAAUUUAGACUACGUAUACCAUUGAUCCAAAGAACCAAUAGCUUGACAGACCUAGUCAUGAGGUGAACGGACUGAAGUGAUUGCAAAGUAAAGGAGCUGCAUGGCCAAGCUUAGUUAGCUAGCCAGACCCCCCAAGAAGAGCCUUGAGCCUCUUCACUUCAUCAUCAUCAAGAAAGGUGGUCUUCUCUAUCAAUUCAGAAGGCAAGCUGCUUCUAAACAGCGCAUAGCUCAGGAUCUGCAGGCCGGGGUUCGAGCUACUGAAGCUAACCCAAAUGAGUGCCGGCGUCCGACCAGUGUUCACCUCGAAAUGCAGCAAGCCUUGAGGGAAAACCAUGAUAUCUCCCUCUUUGAGUGUCUUCGAGUAGACAGUAUUAUCUGAAGAGACGAAAGCAGCAAUGACAGAGCCCUUGGCCACAAGUAGCGUCUCCGAAGCACCAGGGUGGCUGUGCAUUGGAAUCGCACCGCCGGGGGCCAGGUCCACCCGAGCCAUGGAGAGACCAAGCCCAUUUAGGCCUGGGAAUUUAUCAGCAAAUGCUGUGUUUAUGGAAGCUUUGAUGAAGUUUGAGGUGUUUCCAGCCACACCUAGGCCUGAGUACACGAAGUCAUCUACUGUUACUUUUGCAGGCGUCUUGCAGGAGUAGCCUGCAGGACCUUGUGGGGCUUUCAGGUCCGCCACGCAGAAGUCUUGGACUGCUGCAUGAGAGGAGGACACAAGGAAAUAAAAGAAGAGAAGAACGUGAAGCAUUUUCACUGGUGACUUUGGUG